rnacentral:rRNA from 1 species
UACGUAGGCAGCGAGCGUUGUUCGGAGUUACUGGGCGUAAAGAGUAUGUAGGCGGUUCUGUAAGUCUGGUGUGAAAUCUCCCGGCUUAACUGGGAGGGAGCGCCGAAAACUGCGGGGCUUGAGUGCGGGAGAGGAGAGCGGAAUUCCUGGUGUAGCGGUGAAAUGCGUAGAUAUCAGGAGGAACACCGGCGGUGUAGACGGCUCUCUGGACCGUGACUGACGCUGAGAUACGAAAGCGUGGGGAG